rnacentral:rRNA from 1 species
AGUGAACGCUGGCGGUAGGCCUAACACAUGCAAGUCGAACGGCAGCACGGUAAGAGCUUGCUCUUACGGGUGGCGAGUGGCGGACGGGUGAGGAAUACAUCGGAAUCUACUUUUUCGUGGGGGAUAACGUAGGGAAACUUACGCUAAUACCGCAUACGACCUACGGGUGAAAGCAGGGGAUCUUCGGACCUUGCGCGAUUGAAUGAGCCGAUGUCGGAUUAGCUAGUUGGCGGGGUAAAGGCCCACCAAGGCGACGAUCCGUAGCUGGUCUGAGAGGAUGAUCAGCCACACUGGAACUGAGACACAGUCCAGACUCCUACGGGAGGCAGCAGUGGGGAAUAUUGGACAAAGGGCGCAAGCCUGAUCCAGCCAUACCGCGUGGGUGAAGAAGGCCUUCGGGUUGUAAAGCCCUUUUGUUGGGAAAGAAAAGCAGCAGGUUAAUACCCCGCUGUUCUGACGGUACCCAAAGAAUAAGCACCGGCUAACUUCGUG